rnacentral:rRNA from 1 species
UAAGUGAGUAGUGAAAUCGUGCGGCUCAACCGUAUACACAUUACUUAAACUGGCAGACUUGAGUAUGGUAGAGGUCACUGGAAUUCCAAGUGUAGGAGUGAAAUCCGUAGAUAUUUGGAGGAACACCGAUGGCGUAGGCAGGUGACUGGGCCAUAACUGACACUGAGGCACGAAAGCGUGGGGAGCAAACGGGAUUAGAUACCCCGGUAGUCCACGCCCUAAACGAUGGAUGCUA